AAAAGCUUGGUUUGGAUACAUAAAGUGGUGGAGAAUCACCAGGAAGUUGAAUAAAUCUCAUAGGAGUUGGAAUGAAGAAGUUAUCCCACUUUCAAAUCUGGUGAUUCCAGUUUCCCAGUUUGGGAAUAGCACAGCUUCUUCGUCGUUCCAAUCAAACCAGGAUGAAUCACUUUGUGAAAGUUUGAUUUGGAUACAUAAAGUGGUGGAGAAUCACCAGAAAGUUGAAUAAAUCUCAUAGGAGUUGGAAUGAAGAAGUUAUCCCACUUUCAAAUCAGGUGAUUCCAGUUUCCAAGUUUGGGAAUAGUAUAGCUUCUUCGUCGUUCCAAUCAAACCAGGAUGAAUCACUUUGUGAGAAGCUUGAUUUGAAUACAUAAAGUGGUGGAGAAUCACCAGGAAGU
rnacentral:lncRNA from 1 species